GAGGAAUAUUGGUCAAUGGACGCAAGUCUGAACCAGCCACGUCGCGUGAAGGAAGACGGCCCUACGGGUUGUAAACUUCUUUUAUCCGGGAAUAAAGUGCCCCCCCGCGGGGGUUUUGCAGUAACCGUACGAAUAAGGAUCGCCUACCCCCGGCCAGCAGCCGCGGUAAUACGGAGGAUCCGAGCGUUAUCCGCAUUUAUUGGGUUUAAAGGGUGCUCAGGCGGGGGAUUAAGUCGGCGGUGAAAUUUUGCAGCUCAACUGUAAAAGUGCCUUCGAAACUGGUUUCCUUGAGUGCGGAUGAGGUAGGCGGAAUUUGUGGUGUAGCGGUGAAAUGCAUAGAUAUUACGAGGAACUCAGAUUGCGCAGGCAGCUUACCAAGCCGUAACUGACGCUCAAGCACGAACGCGUGGGGAUCAAACA
rnacentral:rRNA from 1 species